rnacentral:rRNA from 1 species
GACGAACGCUGGCGGCGUGCUUAACACAUGCAAGUCGAACGGAAAGGCCCUGCUUGCGGGGUACUCGAGUGGCGAACGGGUGAGUAAAACGUGGGUGAUAUGCCCUGCACUUCGGGAUAAGACUGGGAAACUCGGUCGAAUACAGGAUAGGAGCCAUUCUUAGUGUGGGGGUGGGAAGGUUUUUUCGGUGUGGGAUGAGCUCGCGGCCUGUUAGGUUGUUGGUUGGGUAGUGGCCUACCAAGGCGGCGACGGGGAGCCGGCCUGGGAGGGUGGACGGCCACCUUGGGAAUGGGGUACGGCCCAGACUCCUUCCGGGGGCAGGAGUGGGGAAUAUUGCACCAUGGGGGCGAGCCUGAUGCAGCGACGCCGCGUGGGGGAUGACGGGCUUCGGGUUGGAAACUCCCUUCGCUAGGGACGAAGCUUUUUGUGACGGUACCUAGAUAAGAAGCACCGGCUAACUACGUG